AUCUCAGGUCAGGCGGGGCUACCCACUAAGUUUAAGCAUAUCAAUAGGCGGAUGAAAAGAAACUAACAAGGAUUCCCUUAGUAAUGGCGAGCGAACCGGGAAAAGCCCACCAUGAGAAUCGCUCUCCCUCGAUGUCCGAUUUGUAGUCUGGAGAAGCGUCCACAGCGGUGGAUCGGGCCCAAGUCCCCAGGAAGGGGGCGCUAGAGAGGGUGAGAGCCCUGUCGUUCAUGGACCCUAUCGCACCACGAGGCAUUGUCAGCGAGUCGGGUUGUUUGGGAAUGCAGCCCCAAUCGGGCGGUAAAUUCUGUCCAAGGCUAAAUACUAGCGAGAGACAAAUAGCGAACAAGUACCGCAAGGGAAAGAUGUAAAGGACUUUGAAAAGAGAGCCAAAUAGUGCUUGAAAUUGUUAGGAGGGAAGCGGAUGGAGGCCGACGAUGUGCCUCGGUCGGAUGUGGAACGGCGAGAGCCGAUACGCCAAUUAACUUGGGGCAUGGAUCGACGCGAAUUGUGAUGGUGGCCCAAGCUUGGGCUGAUGACAUGCUCGUGGAGACGUCAUCAUCGCAUUUGUGGUUGGAAGCGUGCGCCGUUUGAUGUGCUUCGACACCUGUGUGCUUCGGGCGUCGGCCUGUGGACUCUCUAUUCGGUCCGUCUUGAAACAUGGACCAAGGAGUCAGACAUGUGUGCGAGUCAGCGGGCAAGUAAACAUGUAAGGCGCAAUGAAGCUGAUUGGUGGGAUCCCCUUGUGGGUUGCACCACCGACCGACCUUGAUUUUCUGUGAAGGGUUCGAGUGAGAACAUACCUGUUGGGACCCGGAAGAUGGUGAACUAUGCCUCAGCGGGGCGAAGCCAGAGGAAACUCUGGUGGAGGCCCGCAACGAUACUGACGUGCAAAUCGUUCGUCUAAUUUGGGUGUAAGGGCGAAAGACUAAUCGAACCGUCUAGUAGCUGUUUCCCUCCGAAGCUUCCCUUAGGAUAGCUGGAGCCUGGGGGUGAGUUCUAUCAGGUAAAGCUAAUGAUUAGAGGCAUCAGGGGUGAAACUCCCUCGACCUAUUCUCAAAAUUUAAAUAGGUAGGACGGCGUGGUUGCUUUGUUGAGCCACGCCACGAAAUCGAAAUCCGCUAAGGAGUGUGUAACAAAUCACCUGCCGAAUCAACUAGCCUCGAAAAUGGAUGGCGCUAAAGCACGCGAAGAUGAGAAAGGUUCCAUGUGAACGAAACUUGUACAUGGGUUAGUCGAAUCCUAAGGGACGGGGGAAGCGCGUUUGAUAGCGCUCUAAGCACGCACUCCGAAAGGGAGUCGGGUUAAAAUUCCUGAACCGGGAUGUGGCAACUGACGACAACAUUAGGGAGUUCGGAGACGUCGGCGAGGUCCCCCAUAAAGAGUUAUCUUUUCUAUUUAACAGCCUGCCUACCCUAGAAAUGGCUCAGCCAGAGGUAGGCUCCGGUAGCUGGAAGAGCACCGCACGUCGCAUGGUGUCCAGUGCGCCAGUGGCGGCCCUUGAAAAUUCGAAGGACCGGGUGCCUCCCUCGCUCGGUCGUACUCAAAACCGCAUCAGGUAUCGAAGGUGAACAACCUUUGGUCGAUGGAACAAUGUAGGCAAGGGAAGUCAGCAAAAUGGAUCCGUAACCUCGAGAAAGGGUUUGGGUCUAAGGGCAGGGCAUGGGUCCCAAAUCCGAACCCGUUGGCUGUCGGUGGACUGCUCGAGCUGCUCUCAUGGGGAUAGCGAGUCGCCGCGUGCCGGUCGGGGGAUGGAUUGGGAACAAGCCCUUUGGGGCCUCUUCCCCGGGCGUCGAACAGUCGACUCAGAACUCGUACGAACAAGGGGAAUUCGACUGUUUAAUUAAAACAAAGCAUUGCAAUGGUCCCUUCGAAUGUUGAUGCAAUGUGAUUUCUGCCCAAUGCUCUGAAUGUCAAAGUGAAGAAAUUCAACCAAGCACGGGUAAACGGCGGGAGUAACUAUGACUCUCUUAACGUAGCUAAAUGCUUCGUCAUCUAAUUAGUGACGCGCAUGAAUGGAUUAACGAGAUUCCCACUGUCCCUGUCUACUAUCCAGCAAAACCACAGCCAAGGGAACGGGCUUGGCGGAAUCAACGGGGAAAGAAGACCCUCUUGAGCUUGACUCUAGUCCGACUUUGUGAAAUGACUUGAUGUUAGUUAUCAGUGGCAGAAUACACCUAGAAGGUGGGGUUGAAUAGGUGUGGUGGAGCUCACGUUCCGCUUUUUGGGUUUUUCACACUUGCUAAAAAAUGGCCAGUUAAUCUAUUAAGCACUAUUCCUAAUCAAUUAAACAUAGUAAAAAAAAAAUGCAGAAAAUCUUGUUUAACAACUCUUUAGCACGGCAGGUUAGGAGAAAUCAGGCAAUGAUACAACAUAUAUUUUUACAUAAAAUUAAACUAGUUAUAGUAAAAAACCAGUAUACAAAUUAUCAUGUUAUAUCAUGCAAUAUUACAACUUGAAAUGUAAAAGAGAAAGGGAUAGAAAAAAUUGCGCAAGGAUUUUAUCCUGGUUUGUUUUGUGGUCCACUACAAAACUACAUCCAGGCCUCCCCUUCUAAUCUUGGGAGAUUUUCUUCAUCACUAUAGAACACAAUGUAUCAUUACAUACACACUUCCAAUUACAAGACUCGAUUGCUCCUUUCUUGGAACCCAAAGAACUUCGUUACCCUUGGUUUGACCUUUCCUAAAACCACAACCCAAGAAAACCUUUCUUACCGCGAUUCGGCCCCAACGAAUAUAUCGCUCUUUAUCUCAAGACAUCCAAGUCUUUGUGAAGAACACCUUACCUAACCGCAGCUAGGAUUUUCCUAAUCCUUGAAUUACAAUGCUUUGAGUUAUGAAGGAGUACGUAAUACUCGGAUUUUACAAUAAAGAUCAAAGACUAAAACCUAAGCAAGAACUCACAAGACUUCCUAGUCUAAUAUGAAUGUACAUGCAUG
rnacentral:rRNA from 1 species